UUUUUUUGCAGGUUUUUGCUUUAUGGCCUAAUACAUGGUCAGUUUUUGUAAAUGUUCCAUGUAUGCUUGAAAACAACAUGCAUUCUCUAGUUAUUGAAAGCAAUAUUUUACAUAUGUAUGUUAGAUUAACUUAUGAAUUGCAUUAUAUAAGUUUUGUAGCCCUGAUUUUUGUCCAAUAUUUUACAUAUGUGUGUUAGAUUAACUUGUGAAUUGUGUUAUAUAAAUUUUAUGGCCCUGAUUUUUGUCUGAUCUAUUAAGAGUUAUGUUAAAAAUUUCUUCUGUGAUAGUGAUUUCAUAUCUUUUUUAAUUGAUUUUUUUCUUGUUCGUUUUCUCCCUGCACUAGUCUGGAAGUUACAUAUUCUAUUUUUAUUCUUCUAUUGAUUACUCUAGAAAAUUUAAUAUGUGUGUAUAAUUUCACAAAGCCUAAGGUUACUGUCUUUAUUCUCUUUUUAACAACGCAAGGAUCUUUAGUAUGCUUUUUCAUUUUGGCCACAUCACUUCUGACAUAUAUGCAUUUGUUGUCCAAUAUUUUAGUCCUAUCUUAUUCUUUUUUGAACUUCACAAAUUAGGCGUUAUUGGUAUUUUAUAUAGUCUGUGUCCUUUUGAGUUACCCACAUUUGUCAUUUUCUUUGUUUGCUGUUCUAUUUUACAACUCAGACCUACCUUCUGGGGUCAUUUCCUUUCUCUUGGAAGUAUGUUUUAAUAAACUCAGUUUUUAUUUGUCCAAAAUUACCUUCAUUUUCUCCUCGUUCUUGAAAAAUAGUGUUGCUGUACAUACUGUUCUAAGUUGAUAGCUAUAGGGUCUCAGCGCUUUGAAGAUAUGCCACUGUUUUUUCAUUUCCAUUUUGCUGUUGAGAAGUCAGUUGUCAGUCUAACUUUUUCUUCUGCUAGUAAAAUGUCUUUCCUUCUGGCUGUUUUUAAAAUCCCUUUGUCUUAGAUGUCUUCGCUGUCAGUAAGACAUUUCUAGGUGAGGAUUUCUUCUGAUUUAUUCUUCUUGGGAUUUGUUGGGAUUCUUGUCUCUGAGGUUUGGUAUCUUAUCAAUUAUGGAAAUACUGUCUCUCAUCCACUCUUUCUCUUCUGUCUUUUUGGAAUUCUGAUUUAGAUGUUAGGCCUUUUUUUUUUUUUUUUGAUGGUGAUCUUAUGUUCCUUGGAACUUUACUUGCUGAUCAUUCUUUGAGGCUUAGGUUUCAAGUUAGAAUCUUCCUUUUAUACAGAUGUCUCAGGGGGCUUUACUACCCAGAACACUUAAAACUACAUUUUUUGGUGUUAGACUUUUCUUUUGGUUAUAGGUGUAGGAUGAAUUCUGACUCCAUACUUGGAUAGGAAGGUAUCAUGGUUAGACAUUCUGAGCAGAGACUUAUUCCUUUUAUUUCCCCUUUCCCGAGGCAAGGCCAAAACACAGAAGGUUUGCUUCCAGUUUCACCCACUGAGGAUGUGGCAUUUCAGAGGGCCUGGCUUGGUAUGGGAAUUUCCAGUCUAAUUCUUGCCUUGCCAGCAGACACUCGGGGGCCAGACCACUGCCAACAUGUACAGGGAGCAAGAUAACUACACUUUUAAAAAGAUCGCUCUGGUUGCCUUAUGGAGGAUGGCUUACAGACGGCUUGAAGAGUGGAGGCAGAGAGGCAAGUUAGGAUGCGAUUAUAAACCUCAGGAGAGAGGUGUUGGCCCCGGGACAGACAGAAUGGUGGUGGAUGGGGAAGAUUAUUGAUUAAGAUGAUCUGUCUCUUCCCAUAGACUGUAAGAUACCCAGCCUCAGGUUCCCAUUUGGCCGGCGCUUGACUUGUGACAUCUACUGGCAUGGAGUUUCAUUUCACGACAAUGACAUAUUCUCCGGUCAAGUGAACAAGUUUCCAGGCAUGACGGAGGUGGUGCGUAAAAUUACUCAGCAGAGCAGUGAGAACCAUGCAGAAUCUCUUUCCUGAGGAGUACAACUUCUACCCUCGCUCAUGGAUUCUGCCUGACGAGUUCCAGCUCUUUGUUGCUCAGGUAGAUGGCACUCCGUCCCCAUGACCCCUGAAUUAUAUUAUGGUUGCAACUGUG